GAACGGGUGAGUAACUCGUGGGUGAUCUGCCUUGCACUCUGGGAUAAGCUUGGGAAACUGGGUCUAAUACCGGAUAGGAACCGUCUUUAGUGUGGUGGUUGGAAAGUUUUUUCGGUGCAAGAUGAGCUCGCGGCCUAUCAGCUUGUUGGUGGGGUAAUGGCCUACCAAGGCGUCGACGGGUAGCCGGCCUGAGAGGGUGUACGGCCACAUUGGGACUGAGAUACGGCCCAG
rnacentral:rRNA from 1 species